rnacentral:lncRNA from 10 species
AGUGGUGUGAUCAUGGCUCACUACAACCUCAACCUCUGGGGCUCAAGCAGUCUUCCAGCCUCAGACUCCUGAGUAGGGGACCACAGGCACUUGCCACCAUGCCCAGGUUAGACCAAGAGGACUCAAAGAAGAGGAAGAAAUCCUUGUCUUCAACAGGUCUGGUCAGCUCUGAAGAUUCCCUGAAAUGUGACAUGUAGCGUGACUGUUUGCAUUCUGAGUAGCCCACUACACUGGUAUAAAUUCACAAAUUUGGAGAGUCUCUCCU